rnacentral:lncRNA from 1 species
UGUAAUACACACAUAAGCUGCGUUCACUGAAGUGCAUACUCACAAUAUAGUACGCAUUUAUUUUUCCUUUUUAUUAUUAUCCUUCAAUCCAUUUUGAAGUCAUUUUGACAAAACAUCUCCUUUCCAAAAAAUUCAAGUGUAUUACUAUGGUUUUUUCUUGUAAAUCCAAAUAUUUCCUCAUGAUUUCUUCUCCUUCAAGGAAAAAAAUAGAAAAACUUCGAACCAUAUCGUUAUAAAGCUACUACCACCAUUACAUCAUAGAAAAACAAAUACAUUACUGAUUACUCCGAUAGAUGGAAAUUUAAUUAUGAUUUUUUGCCGGAACUUAAUGGAAGCUUUUCAUCAAUCUUCGUUACAUCAGUCCAGCAAACACUAUAUUAAUGGAGAGUUAACUCAUUUUCUGGGAACACAUAGGUUGGCAUUAACAAUCCCUUGUAAUAUUUCGAUAUGGAUAAAAAAGACUGUAAAACUGUUUGAUUUUAUGAGAUUAUGGUCAUGGGUGGUGAUUUGAUUAAUUAUUCGACUAAACAUCAUCAUAUUUGGGAAUCUAUCUCAUGUACUCAUAAGGAACGUUCGUUUUUGAAGAAGAACCCCUCUAUUUGUCUCCUAGUCUCAGGGUUUCUAUUUCUUCGGAAAGAGUUUCAAGUGACUCUCAUCAUCUUCACUUUGAUGCUAAUGUAAAGGAAGUGCAAACUUCGGAAUAGGUUUACUUAGUGACUAAGGACCAAUGCAGAAAGUGAAGAGUCUUAAUCGUUUUGAAUGAGGAUUGGAUUGGACGAAAUACAAACUCAUUUCUAUUAGGAAUAAUUAGGUUCUAUCUCCUAAAUAAAAACAACAAUAACAGGUAUCAAGAAUGUAUUUGUAAACAUUUUAUAAAAUAUAAGUACUAAGUUAAUCGGUGCCCUAUGAUCUUUUCUGCAAUGGAAGAAAAUAUUGAUGUUUCAAUAUUUUGUUGUAAAUCAUAAUUAUUAAUUUUACUUAAUUUUUAAUCGUAUAGUGUUAAUAUUUAGUACAUACAUGAUGAUAUCUACAUGGUACUUUUAAAUGUGUUUCAAACAGGUAGCUGGUAAAAUCAAAUUCAAUUUUAACCGUACUUUUUUGGAUGAAAAAGUUUAUUUUUAGUACUAUAGAAAAAAAUUAUUUUAACUUCCGGGCAAUCCCCUCACCCUACCCGAAAAUUAUUUUUGUUAAAAAUACUCAUUUAAUCAGAUUUUAUGUUUUUUUUUAUUACAUUUUUAGAAAGUAUUUAUAUUAUCGAUUAAUAGAGAUACAAUUUAUAGUACAGGGUCCACCCCACCGCUAGGCCCAUAGGGGAUAUUACUCUUCACUUCUUUUCAAUUUAUAUUUUAAACGACAAUAUUUUUGAAAUAGUUAGUAGUUAUAACUAAAUUAUUUUUUGGAUUAGACAUAGGCUCAUAUAUAUAUAUCGCGUUCCUGACGACCACCAUGAGUCAACACUAUAGCAGACAAAAACAUUUUGACUUUUGUACCACCAAUAUUUAAGUCCUGUUUUUAACACUGAAAAAUUAAGUAAUUUAUAUGAAUUUGUACAUAAUUUAGUCCAUGUGCCAUGAUUAUGUACAUUUGUCUUUAUAUUUUAAAUAUAGGCCCAACCUAAUGAGUUUUGCAUGCAUUAUCAUUUGAGGGAGUCGACUUUAUUUUAAUUGUUCAAUUAGUGACAGGUAUUAUUGGAAGCCUAUUCUAAAUAAUCUUAUUAACAAUUAGCAGCAUCCACAAAUGUUUAAUACAAUAAAUAAAUUAGCUAAAAUUGAAGAACUUUAUCUUGAUUUCAAAAUAUAAAUCCUUGAGAUAUCCUAGACAUUUCCCAGCUUCUUUCCUUUUAAUUAAUUCAAACAGAAUAGUAAAAAAAAUGGGUUUUCUCAAGCUAACCAAAUGAUUUCAUCGACGGAGGAUAUAUGUCUUAGGAUUUGAAGAUUUUAAUAUUAUCUGAUGAUUGAUCAUAUCAAACCAAAAUAAGUUAAAAAAUAUAUUAUAUGAUUUCUUAGAUGAAGUAAUGUGAUCAUGAAAUCGUAUUUAAUGAUCACAUUACUUCAUUAAUGGUCUUUGAUGGUGAUCAUCAUACGAAGUUUAAACUAUAAUGAAAUGGCAACUUUUUUUUUUAAUAUUAUUAGCUUUCUACUGAACAUCAAAAGUAGAAUAUAAACCAUCUUGAACCAAUCAUUUUGAAUCAUGCCCAAAAGUGUUAUAUUCUAUCAAAUGGUUAAUAUUGAACCAUUUACUUCCAAUGAUAAAUAUGGUUUCCUUUAAAAUAAAAGCAUAGGCUAAAUAAGUCAAAAUUCAUUGUAUUGUACUAUAGAAGGAGGUUUCUGAUUGCAUAUCUAUGUACAUUGUAUACCUUUAAUCAUAAUUAAAUUGGAUGCCAUCUGGGAAAUGAAUUUAUAUAUACUUACAUCAAUCCAAAAAUAUACAUUACGAAUAUUAAAAAUAUUCAUUAUAGUAUUUGCAUUGAAGUUAAAUGAUAUUCAGUAUUAUUUUUAUUUUUUUUCUAUGAAGUUUUUUUUUAAUUUCUUCUCUUACUUAAUUACAUCAUUAUCUGUUGACCAACUAUGUGUACAUUUGAUUUUGACACUCCACAUAACAUUAAUUCCUAUUAUGUUAGCCACUUGUAACAAAAUUUAGGCCUGAUACUGUUUUCAUUUGUAUUGAAUGUCAAUACCAAAGUCACCUCUGUUGUCGUAGUCUUUUUCAUUGGUUCAACCCAAGGAAAUCCAGUAAAUCUAUCGACCAUCAAUAAAAAAUCCUUCUUAUCUUUUGGUGUAAUAAGUGGAGGGAUACUUGUUCCAUAGGUUAACUUGUGAUCGUUUUAUUAUGUUCUUUCGAUUUUGGUUGAAUUUUCAUACUUUUCAUGCAUGAUUCAGUACUUGUUUUAAUUGAAUUGUACAUAACAGGCCCAAAAGUAUCUAUCUCAUGCUAACUUUCGGGCUCCAACAAUACCAGGAUGAAAUAUAUGUAAUUUCUUCACAAUAUAACUAAUGGCACUACUUGGUAUAAUGUUUUUUUAAAUUCGUGAUUAGUAGUUUGUUUUACAGUUAAACAUUCUUCUAAGUUGACUUGUAAGAACGUAUUGGAUGAGUUUUUGAUACAUCAUUAUUUUUUUGCCUUCCAAAACGCUAUUACUAUUUCUGGAUAUUUUAUAUCUUCACUUGCAAGUUUCUCAAGUUCUUUUAGUUUAGGAUCAGACGUGAUCAAAUAAACGUUGUAAAUUUUCUUUUGAAUGAGAGCAAAAACCAGUAUCAUUAAUUUUACUCACGUCAGUAUCCAACUUCAUAAUUUUUUUUUACAUCAAAAUGAGCUAAAACUGAUGCUGAGCUCAUAAUUAUUUUUGAUUAAUCGAAAGCUUUUUAUUGUUCUUUUUGGCAUUGAUAUUCAACAUUCUUCUUUAAUAGUUCUGUUAAUGGUUCAUUAACUUUUGUAUAGUAUAGAUGAAAUUGAGGUAAUUGAUUGGAUACUCCAAUAAAUUAAUUUAGUAAGAUUUUUUUGUUUUGGGAAAUUCACAACUUCAUCAAGUUUUUUGUGAUAUGGCUCGACACCUUAGAGCAUACCUAGAAAUUUCACUUUUGUUCCAUAUAGAAUUUUAUCUCUUGAUAAGGUAAUAUUGUUUUUCUCAUAAUGUUUGAGUAGUUCUUCCACCUUUUGUAAAAUUUCAUUUCUGCCAAAUAUCAUCCACAAUCUUCUUUACAUUCUUGAUUCCACAUAAAACAGCAUCUGACCUUUCACAAAAUUCAUCGUUAGAACUACAAUGACCCAUCGGAGCUCCAUAAUAUCGGAAUUUUCCUCGGGGUGUUUUAAAUGUUGUUAUUGCUCUACUUUCAUUGUCCUAAGGUUUUUGAAAAUAACCCAUUUUACAACUAAUGUACAGAACACUUCACUUUUAUGAGGAACUGAUUGAGCAAUUUCUUUAACAAAAAAAAGAAAAGGAAAAGGGUGAAUUGGACGCCUUACAUAUCGGUUUAAACUUUUAAAAUCAGUUACGAAUCUCAUUCAUCUACCAUUCGGUUUUGGAACUAUCAUUGAAGGUGAACACCAUUCCGUAACACAUGGUUCUGGCUCAAUAGUACCUAAGUUUCGCAUUUUAGUUACUUCUUCUGAUUGAAGUUAUUCAUGAAGAGGAACUGUUUAGCAGUUGAUAUCUACAAUAUAAUCUUCAGCAUUACGAUCGAGUAUAAUUUUUAUUGGAGGACCAGUCAUAGGAUUUAACUUAUCACAAUAAAAAAUUACUUUAUAUUUUUUGGUUAAAUUGUUGAGCUUAGAUUUUGAUUUAAUUUCGAUGGUGUUACAAAUCAACAUUGGGAAAUCUUUCGAAAUUAUUCCAAGUGUUUGACAAGUUUUCCAACUGAGGAAGAAUUUAUCUCUUCUCUCGGUACAUAAAAGGGUUGUAAUUUUACUGUUGUUACCAUUAAAUUUUAUAGUUAAUUGAUAAUGUCCGACAAGUUUCAUUAAAUUUCCAAUUGUGUUGAAGAUAUUGCGAUGAUAAGAUUAAUUCCAUCGAAUACUGUAUUUAUACACAAUAUUCUUAGAAUAAUGGUGAUUGGUGAUCCAGUACCAGGUAAAGCUUUAAAUUGAAAUUGUUUGUUGUGACUAGGAUUCACAAUUACAUUGAAUUUUAGAGUAUCUUUGUCGUAUACAUUCAUCACAUUCCCAGUAAAAGUUGAACUAAUCUUCUCGUCCCUUCUAGGUAUACGACACACUUUCAUAACAUGCACCUUUUUGGUACAAUUCGAACAAAUAACAUUAAAACUAUAAUAGCAGUCGUUAUCCUGAGGUUCCACACUCCAUACGGGUACAAUCUUUUGCCAUAGAUGGGCUACUUGUAUUGUUUUGGCUAUUGGUAUAUCGUCUACUUUUAAAUCACCAAAUCUUUUAGUGUGACCUUUUGGGGUCACUGACUUAUUUUCAAAAAAAAAAAAAUUCUACCAACAGCAUUAAUAGAGUCUUGGAUAUAUUCAGAUUUCACAUACCUUUUAUUAAUUCAUCUUGCUUUGUAAGAUUUAGUGAUUGUCUUCAAUGUCUCUCUUGCUAAAUCUCCACCUGCCUUGAGAUAUUCUUGUCUCAAUUCGUCGUUAUUCUUGCCAACAAUGCAUCGAAAAAUAUAUUACUCUUGAAUAGACAUAUUCUUUACGUCCCCUUCAUCUUUUAAAAUAUCUAAUCUUCCUCCGAAAUCAGACAUAUUUCCAUCUAAUCUUUAAGUUGCCCCAAAGUAUUUUAAUCUUCUUGAAAACAAUGGAUAUAAUUCAAUAAGUUCUUCCAAUAGUAAUUACUCACAACUAUUACUAUCUUCGCCAAAUAUAGGUGUAGCUGAUAAAAUUUUCGAGACAAUAGCUUUUUCACAAGUAAUAGACACACAACUAUGGAAGUAGGCAUGCUGAUCUUGAAUUGGAAUAACUUUCAUAUUACUAGUGGAAUAGUAAGACUUGAAUCUACUUGACCAAUUCUUCAUUUGCUCUAUUAUGUCACAUCUUUGUAAGGGUUUUGGCUUGAGAGAAUUGUUGGGUCUACAAAUCUUGGACCCAUCAACAGCUGGAGUAUAUAGAGAAGUAGACUGAGAAAAACUGGAACGAAUAGUUUCCAUGGCUCUAAUGAGAAUCACUCUUCCCUUAUAAACAACUUCGUGAUACCUAUGAACUUGUUCCACAAGAUCCGAUUUAAUAAUUUUAUCGUUUUCUUCUUUGUUUUCUUGUCCAUUACUAUCCAUCCAGGCAUUAGCACAAUCUUCAACACAUUUAUAUCUAUUAUCACAGUGCUUAAUAGCAUCUUGGAUACUGAAUGAAUUAAUCUUUGUUCAGAUUUUAUGAGUUUUAAAACAUGUAGCUCUAGUGAGAACGCUUUUCAUUCAUAAAUAGCUGUUCUUGGUUUUGGUAAUUACUUACAAAGUGAAAUGCAUUAACAAAAAUGAUCAAUUUUAAUCACGUCCCAUAAAAAUAUACACUACACAAAAUCUAAUAUACUUUCUAGUAAUAAUAUAUCUACUUGUUCAAUGAAACUUUUCCAAAUAUAUGCAACCUCUCACCAUCCACGUCCAAUAUGAUGUAUUCUCUCAAUUUUAUAGAUCUUCGUUAUGCGUCGUUUUCAAGAUAUUAUGGUCUUGAUUAACUUGGACUGAAAUACCUAAAUGAUAAAUUCCAACUGCGCCACAGUGAGACUUAUAAUUAAAAAUAAGUAGUUCUAAAUAAUCCUUAAAGAUUAUAAAAUAAAACACGUCUUGUAACUUUGAUAGUAUAUAUAUAUGAAGGAUUUUGUAUUCAAUUACUUGUUUGUAAUACACGCUUUGAAUACAAAAAUAAUAAUACAAACAAUCACACACUAGGUUAAGGUUUAUGUGCUUCUAUCUGCUGGUUGUAUUUUGACAUCCAAUUGGUAUCUAUUUUCAUAAAUAAAAAUGAAAAAAGGGUUUUGAUUUUUAUAAACUUGGUUUUUUAGGUCCUCAAAAUGGACGUCAUCAAAAUAAUAACGUCACAUGAAAACACUCUAUUGCAGCUGUGGUUGAUUAUGUCUGAAAAUUUCAAUUUAAAUUCAAAUUAAUGUAACUUUUAAAAUACAAUUAUCUUAAUUUAUUAAUUAAGUACUCUCAUUAUCAAACUCAAAAAUAAUAUAAAAAUGUUUUUCCCACUUUUAUGAAUAUAAACUUAUCUUUCAAUAUGUGAGUAAUUAUUAUGAUUAAUUAACACAUGUCGAAAAAAAAUUGACUUUUUCAAAAAUCUUUAAUUCCAUAUAUAAUCCUAGUACUACUUGACGCAUUGAUGAUGAAUCAGUAGUUACUUUCUUUGCAUGAAAUCUGGUUUUUGAGAAUUUUCAUUUUGAACUUUUUGGGAAUUUUACCCUUUUUAGAGAUUAUUCUCAACAUUUGAAAAUGAAAAAAAAUCAAUAGUUCACAUACUAUUUAUUAGUUUAAAAAUUGCAUUCUUAUUUCAAAUGUGUGCUAAUUUUUUAUAUGUGAUUAUUCAAUAUUCAGAAAAUGGAAUUUAAAGGUUAAACAACCCCUUUAUUUUAUAAGUUUUGUUAGAAAAGGAAUAACAUGUCGGAUUGUCAAUUGUUUGUAUGUCAAAAAAAAAAAAUAUUUGGAGCAUAAAUUUAUAAGUUUUUUAUUUACGAAAGAGUAUUUUAUUCUAAAAUGUCAAGUUCAGAAGUAAAUUUGAAUUCAUUAUUUUUUAACAGAAAUUUAUCGAGGUUAUAUUAUUAAAUUUCCGAAAAAAUCAAUUAUAUUCCAUUAAAAUUGAUAAUAAACAAAUCCAAAUAUAAUGGCGUAAGUGUCUGACGUUUUUGACAUUACGAUUUCUUUUAUAUAUUAAAAAAACGUAAGAUCUGAUUAAAUUAUUAGGCUAUAUAAUCUUUCGAGGAUUUUUACAUCGUCAUAAAUAUGAUGGAAGGUUAGAUUUUAUUUUUCAUCCAGAAAUAUAAAUCCUUUAGGGAUUAAUACAUUUUGUGUCUAGAUGAAGAAGUAUUUUAUGUUAUGCUACGGGUUAUAUUCCAAGAUAUAUAACUGAAUUAUUUAUUUUAAGUUUCCUUCAAGUAAGAUAUUUUGAAAUUCUUCACUCACUUUAGUAAAAUCAUCUUUGUUAAAAUGAUUCGAUCAAAAUAUGGCUUCUACGUUGAUUAUCAAUAUAUUCUUCGAAUCCAUAUUUCUCUUGAAGUUUUUUUUUAAUUGAAAUUUAAAAAAUAAUAUUUUUUGGGAAGGAAAUUUUAUAAUUUCACCCACACAUAUUGAAACACAGCACAUUUUUACCGUUUAGCUUGAAGAUUUAAUUUUUUAAUAUAAAUAUGUAGCAAUAAAAAGUAAAAAUGAGAUAAACGCAAUUAAUCUUUCAGAAUAAAAAUUCAGAUAAUAUCAACUUGUUUGAAAUCAAUUAUCUUGAAAAAAUAAAAGGUAGUUAUUGUAUUUCUCGACUGAUGUCAUUGACUUUAACCUACGCCUGGUUUAAAACAUAAAAAGGGAUAAUUUCUACUGAUAUUUGCUACCUACUGUUGUGGGCGGAAAAAUUGUUUGGCGAAUGAAUAAUCAUUUACAUUAUCUUUAAGAGUCUAGAAUCAUCUUCCACUCGUCAUCCAUUGACAAAAGUGUCCAGGUUAUAUAAUUGUCCAUAUAGAUUAUACAUAACAAAAUCCACCGUAUACAUGUAAUUGAUAUCAAGAUGAUUGAGAUAAGUUAUUUCUGCGUUAUAUACAUCAAAGCAACUGAAGGACUAUUAUAGUUUUUUUUUUAGUAAGAGACAAAGCAGAAUCGACUUAAGAAGAAAAGUACUUCAGAAUUUUAAUGAAAGUGAAUGUAGGAAGAUAACUAUCUGUGGCUCACUUGGGCUUGAGAUCUAUUGGAGGUAUGAAUUCCCAGUUCUAGAUAUAUCACUCAUAGGAUUCGAGUCCCUUGAGUGACUUCGUAAUGCGGCCUGCUUUGUACCUUUGGAAUAAGAAAGAAGGUUUAUGAAAAGACGACAAACAUCUUUCGCAUCUCUCUAUUCCUAUUUUAGGUUGCUCCUAAUGUACUGAACUUUACAGUUUCCUCGCUUAUAUCUCUCAUUUACUCUACGAUCCAGCCUUUUGAGUGAUUCACCCAAUCCUUUCAGGGAUUGGUCUCACCACAUCCAACCGCUUCUUCUACUGAUACAACUUGGCUCAUAACGAAGAAGGAAGUACUGUUUGUUUCUAAUCUGAUGUUAUGAUAGUUCGUACCUCGAUGGCUGUUUUCCAAUAUGAAUAAUCCAUCAUGUCUACAGGAUUCAAGGAAAAGAGCGGACAGAAAUAAAAUCAACAACAACAACAUAAAUAUAAGUGGUAGAAAUAAACUUCUCAUAGAUGCAUUCAGGGAGUACUAAUAAUUACGCUAUACAUGUAGUGUGGUCGAUUUUCAGGAAAAUUCAAAAUGAACGAACAAUAAGUUGCAUUUUCGACACUGGUUCAAAAAUGGUGUUAAAUUUCUAAGCAAAUGUUUGAAGAAAUGUUGGAGUCCUCAUCAUCACUUUUUUGAUGCAAUUCAUCUUCCUAAUUUAUGAAAUUAUAUGGAUGUUGUGGAAAUCAAAAAUAACGUUGAUAACAUUCUCCACAAGGUUAAUAGAAAUACAAGGUUAAACCAUGAUGUAAUCAGGCUUGCUAGAAUUUUCAAUUUGAUGUACCGUACUGACUGCAGGGCAAAAUAGGCAGAUUUUGACAAAAUACGCAACCACUUAUAGUCUAAGGCAUCAAUACUGCAAGAACUUUCAAUUUAAUGUAUUGUACCGCCUGCUGAGCAAAUAACAACAACAGAUUUUGAAAAAACACGCAACCACUCACUCACAUUUGUCGUUUAUUUUUAAAAGCGUGGGAGAAGUUAAACAUCAGUCGUACACGCGUUAUGGUAUAACCUUGUAUUUCUAUUAACCUUGAUUCUCUCUAAUGCUAAUAUUAUAAAAGUCAAAAAAUUGAUCGAAUAAAUUUGAAACUACUUAUUCUAACUUAAUGAAAAAAAAUUAGGCUAAAUCAAUUUUUUACUAAUAAUUAAAAUAUUAUGGCAUAAUCAAUAAGUUGAAAUGGAUUUCAACAUACAAAAAUAAAUUUAAUAGGACCAUCUAGAUAUCAUCACAUAUUUUUUGAAUAUUCACAAUCUAUGAGGAAAAAAAUAAUUUUCAAAUUUAUACAAAGCUUGAGUCAAGAGUAUGUAACUCAAAAAUACUUUAAAUUAUUAAAACAUUGACAAACAUGGUAUUUAGAUUUAUACAAACUUCAUGAAGAGAAAGUAAAAUACCUCUCGGAGAUUUUCCUGAAUUUACAUCAGGAGGACGGAUCGUCUUGAUACUAAUAGCUAACAAGGAUUCAGGAUACCUCAAGAACUACUGACCCUUAACCAUGUAGAAUUCUAUAUACAAAAUUUUCUCCUAUAUUUUUUCUAACAGAAUAUGUACUUUGACGGAAAAGGAGAAGUAACAUCUCCAAUGAUAUCUUUCACAAUCCCCUGAAUAGUGUAGGAUUUUCUGUGAUGAGCGCUCAGAAAUAUGGAAGAUUCUGAACUUUUAUUUGUUUAUAAAUUGUGGAAUAUUGAGGAACUCUUAUUUUUUAUUUUCAAUGACUUCCUGAAAGAGAGACAAGUCUUUCUUAUGGGUAACCCCUACACUAGUUUUAAAAAUAAUCUGGAAAAAUUUGUAUUAUACUCCAAGCGAAUGCAUUAUCUAUUUAAAGGGUGAAUAGAUGUUAUUAUUAAGUUUGAAUUGUCUCUUGGUCGAGAAUUCCACAUAAUAGGACACUUUAUGUUCCCGGAAAUGCAAACCGUCUCCGACGACAUUGCUGUGGACGUUUGAUGGUCACCUCACUCAUUGAUAAAAUUGCUGAACAGCCCUUUAGUUCAAGGUUUUGUCAUUUUAAGGGAGUCGAAAGGCCCCUGGAUUAAAGCCUCGUUGGUUUCUACGUCCAAGAUCAGGAGAUGUUUAAAAAAAAAAAAUUGGUUCCUUUUAAAAACUAUUGGAAAAGGAGAAACAUCAACAAAGGAGCAUAUAACACCAUCAAAGAGCGUUGGAGGUUGGGCGAAAAUUGUUUAAUGACCAGAAGAUUGUUUGCCUGUUCUGCAAUGAAGCAAAAAAGACUAUUGACCAUCUCUUCUAGAGCUGCAGGCUUUUUAAGUAUUAGUUAUUAGCGGAUCUCAUAUGGACUGUUGGAAAAUUUCGGAGCAACAACUAGUAUAGAAAUUCUUUAGAGUACUAUUGUGGGAAGGGGAAGGCAUGGUCAAGGCCAUUAUUAAAAAAACUCAAGAAUUAAUAAAUGCAAAAAAGGACUAAGAAGGACUUAAACCUUAAACACGCCAUCCCUAUUAUUGAUUUACAUAUCAAAGUCAUUAAAGAUAUGGAUUAUUAGUUCUUCAGUUUACUGAAGACUAUGACACUAACAUUAUUUAAUUCUCAGUUAUUCUUCUGUUUAAUUUUAUCUUUAUUUUUAGCUUGGUAAUUUUUUUACUUUUACUGCUGUUUUUUUUUAGCUUCAAAUUUUAUGUUUUAUGCGAUGUGCUAAGCUUUUCGUUUUGACAAUGAGUUUAUAUUUGGUCCGGAAUAAAGUUACGCCGUAUGGGCAAAAAAAAAAAAGAAGGUCUUGAUAGAUGUUCGUCUGUUGUCUUAGUCUUUAUUUAGGAGCUAAAAAGUAAUUAUUCCUUAAAAAGAAUUAUCUUUACUUUCAUAAGAAGAAAUGUUGGUCCUUUUUUUUCAAGGGUCCUCCAAAUUACAGUUUAUUAUUUAAGUUCAUCAUCCGUUACUACGCUUCAAGGAGUAAUUCAUGUGGACUUUAGAAAAUCAUGAUCCAAAACGAUGUGAGCUCUUUAAUAUUGAGUAAGGUUAAUAAUUUUGGUAAGAAUACAAAAGCAUGCGAGGAGAAGGGAAUAGAUACUUAUGGCAUCAUUGUUUAAAUAAUAGUCAUCAUGUUCUAUCAAGAACGUUAUCAUUCCCGCCUUUAUUAUUCAAUAUUAAUAUUAUAUUAUAUGCUGAU